CCUACGGGUGGCAGCAGUGGGGAAUAUUGCACAAUGGGGGAAACCCUGAUGCAGCGACGCCGCGUGAGUGAAGAAGGAUUUCGGUAUGUAAAGCUCUAUCAACAGGGAAGAAAAUGACGGUAUCUAACUAAGAAGCUCCGGCUAACUACGUGCAAGCAGCCGCGGUAAUACGUAGGAGGCAAGCGUUAUCCGGAUUUACUGGGUGUAAAGGGAGCGUAGACGGCAGAGAAAGUCUGAAGUGAAAGCCCGCGGCCCAACCGCGUGAUUGCUUUGGAAACGGCACGUCUAGAGUGCUGGAGAGGUAAGCGGAAUUCCUGGUGUAGCGGUGAAAUGCGUAGAUAUUAGGAGGAACACCAGUUGCGAAGGCGGCUUACUGG
rnacentral:rRNA from 1 species